rnacentral:rRNA from 1 species
GACGAACGCUGGCGGCGUGCUUAACACAUGCAAGUCGAACGGUAAGGCCCUUCGGGGUACACGAGUGGCGAACGGGUGAGUAACACGUGGGUGAUCUGCCCUGCACCUCGGGAUAAGCCUGGGAAACUGGGUCUAAUACCGGGUAGGACCACUGCCUGCAUGGGUGGUGGUGGAAAGCUUUUGCGGUGUGGGAUGGGCCCGCGGCCUAUCAGCUUGUUGGUGGGGUGAUGGCCUACCAAGGCGACGACGGGUAGCCGGCCUGAGAGGGUGACCGGCCACACUGGGACUGAGAUACGGCCCAGACUCCUACGGGAGGCAGCAGUGGGGAAUAUUGCACAAUGGGCGCAAGCCUGAUGCAGCGACGCCGCGUGAGGGAUGACGGCCUUCGGGUUGUAAACCUCUUUCAGCACCGACGAAGCGCAAGUGACGGUAGGUGCAGAAGAAGGACCGGCCAACUACGUGCCAGCAGCCGCCGUAACAC